rnacentral:rRNA from 1 species
GACGAGCGCUGGCGGCGUGCUUAACACAUGCAAGUCGAGCGUAAGGCCCUUCGGGGGUACACGAGCGGCGAACGGGUGAGUAACACGUGGGUGACCUGCCCUCAGCUCUGGGAUAAGCCUGGGAAACCGGGUCUAAUACCGGAUAUGACUCCAUGACGCAUGUUGUGGGGUGGAAAGCCUUGUGCGGCUGAGGAUGGGCCCGCGGCCUAUCAGCUUGUUGGUGGGGNGAUGGCCUACCAAGGCGACGACGGGUAGCCGGCCUGAGAGGGCGACCGGCCACACUGGGACUGAGACACGGCCCAGACUCCUACGGGAGGCAGCAGUGGGGAAUCUUGCGCAAUGCGCGAAAGCGUGACGCAGCAACGCCGCGUGGGGGAAGAAGGCCU